CUUUAGCAGGUUUUUGUGAUGCAGCCGUCCCAACGUCUCAACUUCCACUGCGAAUGACAUCUCGUUGGUGGUGUUCAUCACUUUGAGCCUCUUGACGGCGAUCUGGAAACAUGAGAUUUGUCCCCAAGCUGGCCGUAGAAGACGCUCCCAAAGCCCCCCUCGCCGAGCUUAUUCUCAUAGCUGAAGUUGUUCGUGGCGAAUUGCAGCUCCUUCAAGCUAAAAAUCUUCCACGUCCUUGCGCUCUCGUCGUCGUCCCUGAGACAGCGUAGCAGCAUCCGGAGCUCAGCCUUUUGGUUACCCAAGACAUAUUCAUUCGCAACUUCAUCACUCGCUUGCAACGACUGAUGCUGAUGAUCAUCUCCAUCGUCUCCUCGCCGUCAUCACCAUCGCAACAGAAGGUGAGAGCCAAGUCAAUACAGCGCUUUGUGCAUAGUGCAACAUACGAAGGGCCACAGCUGGCCGGGUGCUACACAAGGAACAGUCGAGCGAACGCUAUGAGCUCUACCACCAUUAAAUUAAUCGGAUACUUCCAAGGAACAGUAUUCUCUCUUCUUUUCUGGCCAAGGAUGUGCAUAAAACAUCCAGGGGGGGCUCGUCGCUGGAUCAGCGAAAGAAAUAUAGAGCGCGGAGAAGACUUUUGGCAAUUUAGCGGCUCUUAGACGAUCUUAACAGGAUCGAACGCGUCCUUCCUUUCCUCGACCCAGGGAUCUCGCAGGUACGCAGUGGCAAAGUUGCAAUCUAGACAAUCUAGAAGACAAGACUCUCUUCGUCGAGUUUCUUCCUUGCAAGUUGGUUAAAGCUACUUGAUCCUCUGCGGUGAUGGGUUUGGUGUUCUCUUCUCUCAAGGUGGAAGAAAACAAGUAAAGCUAAAACAAAAGACUUAAAAAAAGAUGAGUUAUUAGAACAAUUUCUCUACAAAUAUUCAAUACACAUAACCAGAAAAAAAUAUUUCAUUCGCCCUCA